rnacentral:lncRNA from 1 species
AUGGAACAAAAAAUAGAAAAAAAUGUUAUUUAUAAUAAAAACGAAUUAAAGGAUAUCCUUCAAAAUAACACAACGAUUAUAACUGAAGAUAUGUAUCGAUUACAUUUUAUCAAAUAUUUUAUGUUUUUAAAUUUUAAAAAUAUAUUUAAACAGUAUACAUUAUCUAAUAACGAGUUGAUCAACUUAGCAAGAAAUGCAAAAAAUUAUUUUUUAAUUCCUUCAAAGUAUGAAGAUCUUCAAAUCAUUUUUAAUUUAUACAAUGAACAAUAUUUGAAUUUAUCUAAUUUAAAUAAAAUUAUAAUCAAUGAUUUUUAUUUUAAUUUGUAUCACAUGAGUGUCCAUCGAGGAAUAUCCUUUAAGUUUGAUACUUUUGUUAAAAAGGGGCACAUAGUACCACGCAUGCAUAAUAACGAUAAUAAUAAUAACGAUAAUAAUAAUAACAAGAGUAAUAAUAACAAGGGUGAUGCAUCAUAUAGUAGUACUAAAGUAUAUAACAAUAUCGGUGCUGAAGAAACAAAUAAAAGCGUGAGAAAAACAAAGUGUUCCAAAAUGGAAAACUUACUUUUCACAGUUGAUAUAAAUACACACAUUAAAAACAAACUAAGUAGUUAUAAGUUUUUUGUUUGUACGGAUGGAAAAAGCUAUAGGUUAAUAAAACAAAAUAUGUUUUAUUACCUACUUGAUAAUACAAUAAGUAACUUUUGUUUAAAUAUUCAUAAAAUUUAUAAAUAUAAACAAACAAAUGAAUUUUUAUUAUUAAACAGUUUUAUAAAUACAUUCAAUAACAUUUCUUAUUCCACUAAUUACUUUGAUUUUUUAUAUUUAUAUUUUUUUAUGAAUAAACAAAAUUUUGAUUUUAUUUCGGAACGGAUUAAUUAUAGUUUUUUUAAUUUUUAUUUUAUAAAAAGAAAUAAAUAUGAAAAAAAAUAUAUAAAAUAUAAUAAAGAAUAUAAACUAUAUUUAUUAAGUAAAUAUAUCACAAAAAUAGAAAAAUAUUUUGAAGUUGAUUAUGCAAAUAUGUAUUAUAACUUAUAUAUUAAUUAUAAUAAAUUAAAAACACAAUUAAAAGCAAAAUUAAAAAGUCUUUAUACACAAAAAUAUGACAUAUUUUUUCGUCAAGUCCAUACAAGCAAUGACUUUAAAAAUAAAAUAUUCAUAUCUAUAGAGAAUGACUAUAAUAUAAUAUUGGACACGUUCGAAAAGAAGAAAGAGAGCAACAGCAAUAGUGCUAGUAUCGAUCAUAAUAAUAAAAACAACAACAGUGACAAUAAAACCAAAAGAAAGGAGAAUAUUUUAUACGUUUGUAUAAACAGUAGAAACGAGUUAGUUAUUUGUAAUAUAUAUUUUUUUAAGUCGGUUAUAAAAAAUAGCAAACUAUAUAACUAUAUAAAAGAAAAAAAUAAAAAUAUUAAUUAUUACGACUAUUUAUUCAACAAUAAUACAAAAAGGAACUCAUGUUUAUAUAAUUAUAAAAUAUUUACAAAACAACAUGACUUUACAUUCGAUAUAUACAAAAAAAAGAAUUAA